UUAGUACAACAUUAUCCUGAAAUGGGGUCUCAGAAUGGCUGUGUUUGUUUUAAUCAUAAGCUACAAUGAACUCACACAUUUCCUAUACAGCUCUGUAAUUAAAAGUAAUGCAUUACACAGUUCUUGUGCAUACGAAAGUAUGCCAUCUAAGGCUUUCUGACCCCACUUUAUUGUUCCAGGUGUUAUGUAAAGGUGUAUUAAAAACUGACCUUUGAGUUUGCAAGGACAUGACGAGAAAGUCUCUUGACAAUGGCAUUAAAUAGUCUCAUGGAGAAAAAGACAUGAUUUUCAUCAAUUAUAAUCAUGUUUUAGUAUUUAUCAGUCUUUUCAUCCAUCUGCAACUUUCAGGUGCAGUUGGAAAAAAUCACUGUUUGACUGGUGAGCCUAUUACUCUUGACUGUCCCUUCAAAGUCCCCAACGGUACUCGGCGCGAAAACGUCUCUGUGUUGUGGCAGUUUGAGGGUAGCAGAGCCCAGCUGAAUAAAAGCACCUUGUUUGAAUUCAAGGCUGGAAAUAUAACUCAGCAUUCACUAGGAUAUGAUGUGAACGUGAAUGAAUUACUAAAGGGAAAUGCCCCACUGCAUUUGGUCUGUCCAGCUGUGACUGAUGAGGGUCGCUUCAGCUGUGUCGUUCUGGUGAAACCAGAGAACUACGCGACGACAGUCACCCUUCAUGUGUCAGCUCGACCCACACUGUCGCUAACAGAACAUGCCACAGUGCUUAAUGGGCAGAAGACGACCUUGUCCUGUGAAAUCACAGGUUUCUAUCCUGAGCACCUGGAGAUCCAGUGGCUGAGGCAGCUUGGCCACAAGAAUGAACCUGUGGAGGUGGACGUGUGCACUGAAUCCCCUAUGCCCAACCCAGACCACACCUACAGCCAGAAGAGCCAUAUGACCAUUCAGGGGAACAAGACCGAAAACCAUGGGGCUGUUUACAUCUGUCAGAUCAAGCACAGGUCCUUCAACACGCCUCAAAGCAAAACUGUCCGACUGAGCGUUGUUGAGACGCCUCAGAACCCAGUUGUACUCAUAGCUGUAACAGUGGUGUCCAGUCUCGUCCUAGUGUCGUUAAUAUUAGGAGCAGCUGUGAUCGGGUACUUAUACCUUCACAAAGUGCCACCCAGCAUAUCUGACAUCAACACUCCCUCUGUCAUCUAUGCCAACACUCGUGCAGACAUCAAAUGCACGAUCAGCCGAGUGAACCCCAAGUAUGUGAACGUGCAGUGGUACAUGGUGCUCCCCCAUGGUCCAGGGAACCAUGACCCACCAUGGGGCGCCCUGAACACAGUCUCUCUGGAGCCCCUGGAGGGCCAGGCCCUGUUUAGUGAGUCAGGGGAGAGAAAGACCCUGUCUUUGGAGGACCUAACGGAACACUCGCGGCUUCACUUGGACGACACACGCCUGGUGUCUGUCCUCUCGCUCUGCCCAACGGUCAGCGAUGACGGAGGCAGGUACAGGUGUGUGGUGACCUACAAAGGUCAGACCUACACCAGAGAGACGACGCUGAGCGUUAAAACACAGCCAUCCUUCCUGCAAAUCUCCAGCGCACCCCAGAUCCCGGUGCUGGGACAGCAGCUGGUGCUGUGCUGCCGCAUGGAGCGCUUCUACCCGGCCCAGGUGCAGCUGGAAUGGUGGGGCCCUGGCGGGGAGCGACUCCUGGGGCCCGUGGUCCAGUACGGCCCCUUCUCCGACUACCAGGGGCUGCACAGCGUGUGGAGCACCACGGAGCUGACCGUCACCACCAUGGAGGAGGGGCUAGUGUACACGUGCCGUGCGUACCACAGCAGCUUUCCUGAGCCAGGCUACCAGGACCUCCCCUACCGCGUUAACCUGAAAGGCACUCCCCCAACAUUGAAGUUCAUCAAGUGUGACCCCGCCCGGCCUCAGGUGGGUCAGGAGUGCUCGCUGAGCCUCUGUGUGGAGGACUUCAGCCCAAACGCGCUCUCGGUCUCCUGGUUCAGGAAUGGACAGCCCGUGCCCACCGGCGUCUUCAACUCCCCGGCCAGCCUGAACCCCAGCGGCUUUUUCUGCCAGUGGGCCUUCCUGAGGCUGGUGCCCACUCCACAGGACCUGGGCGCGGUCUACCUGUGCCAGGUGAGGCACAGUGCCCUGGAGCAGCCGGAGGAGAGGAGCUACACCUUGUCUAACAUGACACUCGAACAGCUGGAGUAAUACUUCCCUUACACACAGGGCAGAAUGUUGUAAAUAAUUGUGUCAGGAAGCCUCACACAUUGCCAGAUAGCUACUCAGGCAUGAUAUUGUAUGCAUGAGUUUUAUGGUUCCUUGACUGAUGUAUAUAUAGUCUUAUUGUCUGUCCCAGAAUGAGUUGCGUGUGUGUUGCAUGUGUGUUUUCGUGUGUAUAUUCGGUCUGCUCCAUUGAUAAGCAACUAUGUACAAAACAGAGCGUUUCGCACCAAUCAAAUGAUCUGGACGGGCUUUAUUCGAUGAUGGACAGAUGAACAACUGUGCCUAGUCUAUCAUGUCACCUAAGCUUGCUUGUGUUUAUUUGUGUCUGUUGUGCUGACAGUGAAAUAACUUUAAAAAACGAUUGAAAACAAAAUGAAACUAAAACAGGGAGAAGAAGGACGUUUUGACUCUUCUCCCUACAGGAUUCAUGGUAGGCUGUUUUGUUGCUCUCAUUGGUCUAUCCAAUUAAGAUCAGAGGCAUUUUUUCCCCUGUAUCGAUUGAAACAUGUCCCAUAAUCACAUCCCAAUCAAGCAAUAUCAGACUC